rnacentral:rRNA from 1 species
AUGCUUAGGAGGAUGUUCCAAGGUGGUCCUUCAAGGAAGCAAGGUCCCAGGCUUGCGAUACGUGAUGCUGAUGAGGAACCACCAAGAGACGCUCCUGUGAGGCCUUGUGAAUGGCCAUCGGAAAAUUUUAUGAAUCAAGUGGGAAUUAAAGAAGAAUUCUACGCAUAUUUGCGUAAUGCCGAUCUUGAGGACUUUGAAGCUGAUAAAUGCCCACAGUAUCAUGACCUCACAAGUUCAUUUGUGGGGAGGUUUGAUUUUUCAUCUUCGCGCGAGAGGAAGAUAUAUUAUUACCAGAGAGGAGGCAGAUGA